GGGAGGAAGGCUGGAACCAAUGUGUCAGUCACCAAACAAUUACCCCAGAGUAACUGACUUGCCACAGGUGGACUGUCCAGUUGUGACACACUUGCAGCGUCGCCAUUAACCUCGAGACGACGCUAGUCACAGCUUCCUGCUAGUUCUUGACCAUAUUGCUAAUGUCAUGAACAUGGAGUGGGAUUUCAAGACUAUAUUCUCCCUCGAUGACCGGAUUUCCAUAGCAAAAUCGGUGCGCCGCGAUCACCCAGGAAGCGUACCUCUGGUAGUGGGUAAAAAGCCCCAGCAGGGAUAUGUGGUCGACGAGUACAUUAAUCUAGUGUGUUCUGGGCUUUGCAGCAUGAGAAAACUUCUCUUGGAAAUUAAUAAGAUGUUCCGCUUGAAGCCACACCAGAAAGCUCUCCUAUUUGUUGGUGGGUUUCAGAUACCAGCCGUCGUCAAUAUCAAGUCACUAGACUCCCUGCACAGAGACGAAGAUGAUCACCUGUAUAUAAUCUAUUCCAUACUGAACUGAAUAUCUACAGUCUGUAUUAGUCCAAUUAGAACUGAAUGUCUACCUCCUGUAUAUGAUCUAGUCUGACCUGAACAAUUGUAUGUGGAUGGGGGGAGGGGGAGGGGAGAACCAUCGACGAGCCGCCGGCUUCCUGUCCUCGUCGAGGCCACUAGGGUUAGUGGCCCUCAGGUAAAUUAGGUAUGUCUGCCGCACGUAUUUGAUCAACAUGCCCUCUGGAACAAGGGCAUUUCUAUCACCUGUAUUGGAUAUUCCCCUUGUUCUGGACAAAAUAGACCAGUCACCCGUACUUGAUCUAUUUCGCCCAUAUCAAUGGAAUAUCUAUCAUUUCUUGAAAACAAAAUAGAUAAAAUACAAAGGCAUGCCUACCACCUGAUAUAAUGUCCU